ensembl:misc_RNA Metazoa_SRP Metazoan signal recognition particle RNA
GCUGGGCGUGGUGGCGUAUGCCUGUAAUCCCAGCUACUCGGGAGGCUGAGGAAGGAGAAUUGCUUGAACCCAGGAGGCAGAGGUUACAGUGAGCCGAGAUCAUGCCACUGUACUCCAGCCUGGGUGAUAGAGCGAGACUCUGUCUCCA